GAGGAAUAUUGGUCAAUGGUCGCAAGACUGAACCAGCCAUGCCGCGUGCAGGAAGACGGUCCUAUGGAUUGUAAACUGCUUUUAUACAGGAAGAAACCCUCCCACGUGUGGGAGCUUGACGGUACUGUAGGAAUAAGGAUCGGCUAACUCCGUGCCAGCAGCCGCGGUAAUACGGAGGAUCCAAGCGUUAUCCGGAAUCAUUGGGUUUAAAGGGUCCGUAGGCGGUCUUAUAAGUCAGUGGUGAAAGCCCAUCGCUCAACGAUGGAACUGCCAUUGAUACUGUAAGACUUGAAUACUUGUGAAGUAACUAGAAUAUGUAGUGUAGCGGUGAAAUGCUUAGAUAUUACAUGGAAUACCAAUUGCGAAGGCAGGUUACUAACAAGUUAUUGACGCUGAUGGACGAAAGCGUGGGGAGCGAAC
rnacentral:rRNA from 1 species